rnacentral:rRNA from 1 species
UAGGGAAUCUUCGGCAAUGGGGGGAACCCUGACCGAGCAACGCCGCGUGAGUGAAGAAGGUUUUCGGAUCGUAAAGCUCUGUUGUUAAGGAAGAACGAGUGUGAGAAUGGAAAGUUCAUACUGUGACGGUACUUAACCAGAAAGGGACGGCUAACUACGUGCCAGCAGCCGCGGUAAUACGUAGGUCCCGAGCGUUGUCCGGAUUUAUUGGGCGUAAAGCGAGCGCAGGCGGUUAGAUAAGUCUGAAGUUAAAGGCAGUGGCUCAACCAUUGUAGGCUUUGGAAACUGUUGAACUUGAGUGCAGAAGGGGAGAGUGGAAUUCCAUGUGUAGCGGUGACAUGCGUAGAUAUAUGGAGGAACACCGGUGGCGAAAGCGGCUCUCUGGUCUGUAACUGACGCUGAGGCUCGAAAGCGUGGGGAGCGAACAGG